GACGAAGGUUGCGAGCGUUGUUCGGAAUCACUGGGCUUAAAGCGCAUGUAGGUGGACCAGAAAGUAGUUUGUGAAAUCCCCCGGCUUAACCGGGGCAUUGCUUGCUAAACUACUGGUCUUGAGGCAAGUAGGGGUGCAUGGAACUCUUGGUGGAGCGGUGGAAUGCGUAGAUAUCAAGAGGAACGCCAGAGGUGAAAACGGUGCACUGGGCUUGUUCUGACACUGAGAUGCGAAAGCGUGGGGAG
rnacentral:rRNA from 1 species